rnacentral:rRNA from 1 species
CCUACGUGAGGCAGCAGUGGGGAAUAUUGGGCAAUGGAGGCAACUCUGACCCAGCAACGCCGCGUGAAUGAUGAAGGUCUUCGGAUUGUAAAGUUCUUUUCUAAGGGAAGAAGAAAGUGACGGUACCUUAGGAAAAAGCAUCGGCUAACUCCGUGCCAGCAGCCGCGGUAAUACGGAGGAUGCGAGCGUUAUCCGGAUUUAUUGGGUUUAAAGGGUGCGUAGGCGGGCAUUUAAGCCGGCGGUCAAAUGUCGGGGCUCAACCCCGGCCUGCCGUCGGAACUGGGUGCCUUGAGUGGGCGAGAAGUAUGCGGAAUGCGUGGUGUAGCGGUGAAAUGCAUAGAUAUCACGCAGAACCCCGAUUGCGAAGGCAGCAUACCGGCGCCCUACUGACGCUGAGGCACGAAAGUGCGGGUAUCGAACAGGAUUAGAUACCCGUGUAGUC